UAGGCAAUAUGCAGGCUGACUUUCUUCUCCACACUUUACAGGAGAGUUCUAGUUCUGUGAUGGGAGGUGCACCCUCUGUGGAGCAAGUUCAACAGGAAUCCCCCGUGCUAUCACAAGAAUACAUGGAGGAAAAGGAACAGCAUGUUUCUGAACUCCUGUGGGACCCUCUUGUCAGCGUGGACACUGAGGAAUCUGAAGGACCAC